rnacentral:rRNA from 1 species
GACGAACGCUGGCGGCGUGCUUAACACAUGCAAGUCGAACGGAAAGGCCCUGCUUUUGUGGGGUGCUCGAGUGGCGAACGGGUGAGUAACACGUGAGUAACCUGCCCUUGACUUUGGGAUAACUUCAGGAAACUGGGGCUAAUACCGGAUAGGAGCUCCUGCUGCAUGGUGGGGGUUGGUAAGUUUCGGCGGUUGGGGAUGGACUCGCGGCUUAUCAGCUUGUUGGUGGGGUAGUGGCUUACCAAGGCUUUGACGGGUAGCCGGCAUGAGAGGGUGACCGGCCACAUUGGGACUGAGAUACGGCCCAGACUCCUACGGGAGGCAGCAGUGGGGAAUAUUGCACAAUGGGAGGAAGCCGGAUGCAGAAACGCCGCGUGCGGGAUGACGGCCUUCGGGUUGUAAACCGCUUUCGCCUGUGACGAAGCGUGAGUGACGGUAAUGGGUAAAGAAGCACCGGCUAACUACGUG